UUAUUCAGACAGCUAUAUAGUCAUAUCCCUGUGUGUGUGUGUGUGUGUGUGUGUGUAUAUUCUGCUCUGUCU